rnacentral:rRNA from 1 species
GAUGAACGCUGGCGGCGUGCCUAAUACAUGCAAGUCGAGCGAACGGACGAGAAGCUUGCUUCUCUGAUGUUAGCGGCGGACGGGUGAGUAACACGUGGAUAACCUACCUAUAAGACUGGGAUAACUUCGGGAAACCGGAGCUAAUACCGGAUAAUAUUUUGAACCGCAUGGUUCAAAAGUGAAAGACGGUCUUGCUGUCACUUAUAGAUGGAUCCGCGCUGCAUUAGCUAGUUGGUAAGGUAACGGCUUACCAAGGCAACGAUGCAUAGCCGACCUGAGAGGGUGAUCGGCCACACUGGAACUGAGACACGGUCCAGACUCCUACGGGAGGCAGCAGUAGGGAAUCUUCCGCAAUGGGCGAAAGCCUGACGGAGCAACGCCGCGUGAGUGAUGAAGGUCUUCGGAUCGUAAAACUCUGUUAUUAGGGAAGAACAUAUGUGUAAGUAACUGUGCACAUCUUGACGGUACCUAAUCAGAAAGCCACGGCUAACUACGUGCCAGCAGCCGCGGUAAUACGUAGGUGGCAAGCGUUAUCCGGAAUUAUUGGGCGUAAAGCGCGCGUAGGCGGUUUUUUAAGUCUGAUGUGAAAGCCCACGGCUCAACCGUGGAGGGUCAUUGGAAACUGGAAAACUUGAGUGCAGAAGAGGAAAGUGGAAUUCCAUGUGUAGCGGUGAAAUGCGCAGAGAUAUGGAGGAACACCAGUGGCGAAGGUGACUUUCUGGUCUGUAACUGACGCUGAUGUGCGAAAGCGUGGGGAUCAAACAGGAUUAGAUACCCUGGUAGUCCACGCCGUAAACGAUGAGUGCUAAGUGUUAGGGGGUUUCCGCCCCUUAGUGCUGCAGCUAACGCAUUAAGCACUCCGCCUGGGGAGUACGACCGCAAGGUUGAAACUCAAAGGAAUUGACGGGGACCCGCACAAGCGGUGGAGCAUGUGGUUUAAUUCGAAGCAACGCGAAGAACCUUACCAAAUCUUGACAUCCUUUGACAACUCUAGAGAUAGAGCCUUCCCCUUCGGGGGACAAGGUGACAGGUGGUGCAUGGUUGUCGUCAGCUCGUGUCGUGAGAUGUUGGGUUAAGUCCCGCAACGAGCGCAACCCUUAAGCUUAGUUGCCAUCAUUAAGUUGGGCACUCUAAGUUGACUGCCGGUGACAAACCGGAGGAAGGUGGGGAUGACGUCAAAUCAUCAUGCCCCUUAUGAUUUGGGCUACACACGUGCUACAAUGGACAAUACAAAGGGCAGCGAAACCGCGAGGUCAAGCAAAUCCCAUAAAGUUGUUCUCAGUUCGGAUUGUAGUCUGCAACUCGACUACAUGAAGCUGGAAUCGCUAGUAAUCGUAGAUCAGCAUGCUACGGUGAAUACGUUCCCGGGUCU